UACGGAGGGUGCAAACGUUGCUCGGAAUCAUUGGGCGUAAAGGGCUCGUAGGCGGUCCGUCACGUCGGCUGUGAAAACCCGGGGCUCAACCCCGGGCCUGCAGUCGAUACGGGCGGACUAGAGUUCGGCAGGGGAGACUGGAAUUCCUGGUGUAGCGGUGAAAUGCGCAGAUAUCAGGAGGAACACCGGUGGCGAAGGCGGGUCUCUGGGCCGAUACUGACGCUGAGGAGCGAAAGCGUGGGGAGCGAACAGG
rnacentral:rRNA from 1 species